rnacentral:lncRNA from 1 species
CUCAGUACGGGUGAUGAGAAGACGGUCUCAGAAGCAAUUAUUUUUAUUGGAGUGUGUUAAUAUUACUUUUUGCAUUUAAAAAGACAACUGAAAAUGUGCUGACUUGGAAAAAGGCUGCUAGAAGGUUUAAAAGGAGCCAUGUAUAUAGUCUAUGUAACAAUAGUAAUUACUAUUAAAGGAAAGGUCUCGGAGUGAUUACCCUGUUCAGAUCAGGUUAACCAUCAUGUUCUCGGCACCACCUUCCCAAGCACAACUAGGGAAUGAUUUCUCGUGCCAAGGUCUGGAGGACAGAAUACAAAAGCAUAGCGGGCAGUCAGCACCUGGGGAGAGAGUGGGAACUGAGGCCAUAGAUGUCAAAGUUCAGCAGGUGCCUGGGACAUGGGAGGAGAGUCAGUGGGUCAGUGUUCUGUCUGCUGGGACCUGGUAAGGGCUGAGGGCCCCAGGCUGUCUCUGCCACUCUCCCAAAGAGGUGAGAGGGCCUGAGAACGGAAGCCAGCUGCCUUCACGGGCUCCCAGGCCUCAGGGUCCCAGAGUGGCCAAGCCCAUUUCUUGAAAUAAUCAGCUGCCAGGGUCCCUAGGGGCCGAAGGACAGAGGCCCCCUGGCCCCACCUGGGAAGAGCUGUGCCACCAAUCUGACCACUAGGAGGCAGGGUGACAUUAUCUAACACACUCGCCCGCUCACCCAGGUGUCUGAGCAACUUUAAGAAAGCAUCUGCUGUGUCCAGGAGUAACCCACCAUCCUGGUUCCUUGGGAUAAAGAGAAAAGAGUUUGCGAAUUCUGGCUCUGGCCCUUUCUAUCUGGGGGUCCUGGGGGAGUCACACACCUCUGUGAGCCUUGGUUACCUCACCUGUAAAAUGGGGACAGAGAUACCUGCCCCUCAGAGUUGUCGUGAGGAUGAGAAGUGAUGUCAGGCACAUCGUAGGUGUUUGGCACAUAAAACUAUUGUGAUGUGUGACAUGGUAGCUCCUCAAUGUCCCUAAAAUCGCCUCAAUCCUCCUCACCCACGUACCACUCAGGCAGAUAAAAUCCACUUUGGGCAGCUCAGACUUGGACUCUUGAAUCCUUGUUAGAAGCCCCCAGCUGUUCCCUUAGCAACCCACUGAAAGAGACGGAGGGAAACAGCAGGACGCUCAGGGUGCCGACCGCCCUGGCAGAACCCAGCCUGAAGAGUAGCAACCCCUCCUUUGGAAACCAGACGAGUCUGUCCCUAAUCUUCUUGCUGGGAGAAGACGCAAGCAUCGUGUCCAGACGAGACUCCCAGAUUCUCUGCUGCGUCCGUGAACAACUGAGGGGCCCUUAGGAGUGGGCGAGGGGAGGGGAGAGGCCUUGCACGAGAAAGGCUGGGUGGGUGUAGGUGGCCACGGCUGCUUUUCCCCGUUGGGACAGCCCCCAAGGAUGUCCACCCAGGCAGCUGCUGCUGGGCUGUCUGACAGAUGUUCGAGCCUGAAGAGGCCUCAGGCCCCAAGGUGUCUGCAGAAUUCCGUUUGACUCUUUUCCAGACUUCCUUAUAGCGAGGGCUCCAGAAAGGGGUUCGGAAGAGAGUCGCUGCCUCACUCUGCCUUUCAACACUGUGGCUGAGUCUUAGGGACGCAUUCCAGUUCGCAUUCCAAACCCCAACCAUAAGGAAACGGGAAAUGUAGUGUUGCAUAUUCUGGUCCCUGGAGGACCUCAGACAGAGAAUGGGGUGGAAAAUGAAUGAGCCAGCCCACCCUAUCCACCACAGGGGCCAACAUAUAUGGAAUUCAAAGAUUUCAUAGGGGAAAAAAAAAUCAGAUUUUUCAGCUUUCCUUAAAAACUUCGAAGACCUGACAAUAGCCAUGAGCCCUCAUUCACACUUGCAUUCUCAGUCUGGUUGGGUUGGGCUAUGCCUUUACAUAGGUAUUGUUUUCCUGUUUCCGGCCAGAGCCACCUGCUUGGCCCCUGAAGACAGUGGAGUUUGCAGCUCCCAUCUUAGAGACUGGACCCUCCUCUGGAGAUGGCUUGGUCUGACCUCUCACCUUACAGAUGAAGAAAGUGAGGCCCCCAGGUGGAGGCAUUUGCUCUGGGUCCCUCAGCUCACAGGUGACAGAGGGGACACCAGAGUUCACAUCUGCUCCCCACCCCCGCCGCCCCCUGUCCUGUUUUCACCACACUCUUACGCCUUUGCAAGAUACUGCGUAAACCCUGGCCUAUGCCAGGGAGGCCGAGAGCAGAAUCUAACGGGUCUACGUCCCCUGUGGAGCUUGGCAGCACUAACCUUUGGGAUGGUCACGCCGUAUCCAACUGGUGAUCCUGAGUUUUCAAACAGCAGUUAAAUUAUUUCUUCAUUCUGUUUUAAAAGGCAGGGAAGAAUGUAACAUAUCCCCCACAAAACGAUUAACAUUUAAUACAAAGUUUUAAUGCCAUCGGGAAAAUUUGGCUCACCAGCAUGGCUCAUUCCCUGAGGGCUGAGCACAGCCAAGGUUUGACUACAGUUGCUCAGAUCUCAGAGCGCCUUGAACUUAACUGAAGCAUUUUCACAUGGAGCGGUGUACUAUGAUCUUUUACUUUUUAAAAAAUUUUAGUGUUUAAUUCUUGUAAUUCUCCUUCAAAUGAAAUCUUAUUUGAAAACCCGGUAUACAAAAGAGAUCAAAGCAGAGUGCCCUGGGUGAAGCUGGGCGACUCUGGAGUCCAUCGUACCCCUGUACUCCCUCCCAUCCUGGCCCACAAACACCCCUCUGGAGGCACUGCCACCCCCAGGCUGGGCCUUGGCCAUAACCACUCUCUCUCACUGGGCAGACAAUCACCAGGGAUGUUGGGUAAAAGGCAGAUUCCCUGGCCUCUUACAAACCCACUGAUUUAGAAUCUCUGAGCUGAGGCCAGGGAGUCUGCGUUUUUAACAAGCCCAGCAAAGUGAUUUUUAUGCCUUCUGAAGUUAGAGCUGAAGUCCAGGGAGCUUAGUUUGUAAAUUCACUAAUUCUCUUAGAUUCGUUCCAUGGCAGGUGGAGCAGGAAUUAUCCCGAUUGUACAGCUGACACCAGGCUGGCCCAAGGUUACAUCAGCCCAUCCAGCUGGGGGAAACACCUGUGGUCCCCAGUCUAUAGAAGGUGUAACCCAGUUGUGUCCAGGUGUCCUUCUCAGGGAAAGGGAGGUGUGUCACACAAUGGAUACAGCAUGUCUGCCGGAUGGCCCUGGGUUUGACUUCCGAGCCUUCUAUUUACCCGUCAUGAGCCACGAUUGGAAGGGCUGGAAGGUAUAGAUGCAAAUGGCCCUGCCGAGAGAGUGGCACCAGAGUGCUUAAUAAAAUGGAGCUGCUAUUACUAUUACUCUUAAAGAACGGCCUCCUGCAAACUGGGAGCCCAUUUAGGCCAUUGCCCUCCUGCAUCUCUCUGGGUCAGAGCCUGGGUAAACAGAUUAGGUUGUCCUCAGCAGCAUAAAGGCUCCCCAGGACAGCUGAGGUCCCACAUGGCACCGCUACCCAGCACGUUCCGGGCCCAGAGCACAGAUUUUUAGGAGAAAGGGCCAUCUCGGUGAACCAAAGGAGGAUUAGUUCUGGGACUCCCGCCCUCCCCCUGGGAGAUCUUUGUUUUGUAGAUGGCUCACAGCACCCCUUGCAGCCUCCCCCCUGUGGAGUCUCUGCUGCCAGUUGAAAUGGAUUCUCCGAGGGAGGGGGUCUUGGUGAUUCCCAAAGCUUCUGCGGGGCCCCAGGCAGCAGAGGCAAAGGGGCCCAGGCUUCACACCCUUUCUACUUCUCUUAAUCCCCUCUGAGAAGGUUGCUAACAGGACCGUAACUGUGGAAGGCUCUGCCUCCUAGCUCAGGGCAGGGGUCCAAGCUGCCCCUCUUACAGCCACCUGCCUGCUCCCUCAGAACCCUGCAGAAACCUUUCCGAUGAAUGAGUGUCCCUGUUUGGGGGCCUUACAAGGCAGUAAGUCUGCUUCCCACAAUGUGACUCAAAGGACCUCUGCUUCCAAGAAGGCACCUAUGCUAGGAUGCUCGAGAGCGAGCCACUCCCAUUACCCGGAGAUGGCACUGGGCCAGUGGCAACCUGAAAGAACAGCUCCCUCCUGGGGAAGGAAGGCCAUCUGGCCCUGAGUCAAGGAAAAGGCAAGGAGUAAAGGAGACAGCCCUGAGCACCCCCUUGUCCACUGUAGACAUCCCUGUAGCAGGAAGCUGACCAGACACUUCCUCAUGCCUGGUCUGGAGGAAUAUCACCCAUCACCUCUCCCAUCCGCCACCCGACCUGUACCCAUGAUCUCAUCAAAUCACCCAAGGGCUCCCUUCUCAUAGUGCACACUGUCACCUCUACCUUCUCUUUCUUUGAGAACUCAACCCAACCAUUGAGCUCAGCCUCUGGGAGGUGAAGCUCUCUCUUCUGCUCCUAGCCUGGUACUCUCCCAAGUUAUAACUUGUUUACCUUGUUUUGGAACUCUUUUGGGGUGCAUCUAUUUUCCUGCCUGUUUGGUUAUUUGCAGUGUCUACCACAGAGGUUGGCACACAGUAGGAGCUUCAUAAAUGUUUGAUGUAUUGAUUGAAUUGAUGGAUGAGAACAAGCUUCUCACAGAUACUGAGCAUCCCUGAGCCUGUGCCAAGUGCAGGGAGUGUAUU